GAGAAUGCCAUUGAGAGUGCUACUCUCCAUAUCUUCUCCGUCCGCAAAACAAACUUAACAUCCUUCAAGCAUUUCACCGGCAAAUAGUCAAGUUCACGAAGUUAGUAUAAGACAAAUUGCAAUCAAUAGGUAAGAAUGCUCAGCUCUGCUCCUAGGUUAACCUGUGCUAUGAAGGUACCCGAAGAAUAAAACUAUAAAGAAGCACAUAAGCUACUAAUUCAAGAAAUGAACAUGUGAAGAGUGGUGAAAGCGAUAACGAAUAGAUGAGAAUCGGAUCGGGGCAGCUAAACGAUGUCGUUUAUCAGAGCUUGUGAAGGGUUUGAUCAAGGCACAUCCCGUGUGUCUCAAAGCCAUGGAACAAUGGAGAGUAUCUGACAGAGAAGAGGGCAAAAAAGAAAGCAUAUACCUGUUUGAGGAAAAAACCCAUAUCCUAGUCCUAUCAAGGAAAUACAAGCUGAGGAGAGGAAAUUGUGAAGCAAUAGAAAGCUGAGUCAGCAGAGAGAUUCAGAGAGGGGGUGAUUGGUGAGAUGUAGAGGGGAAAAGUUACACUACUUUGAAAGUUUGGCUCUUGAACAAAUGAUCUUUGACAAUAACAUUUACUGUUCAGCCACUGAAAAGUUAUUUGUUGUAAAUAAGAAAAUCUAUUUGUUGUGUUAGAUAACUGUAGAGGAAAAUUUUACCAAAAUCUUAUGCAAGUUUUCUGUUUUUCCAGGCCACCCAUGUAGGUUUGUUAGUUGGUACAAAAGAACUAAAUAGAUAAUCAAGAUUUGUAUAUUUACUCUUUUUAUUUUUA